rnacentral:tRNA from 2 species
UGGGAUGUAGUCCAGUUGGUAGAACGGCUGACCGUUAAUCAGUAUGUCGUGGGUCCAAAUCCCACCAUCCCAG